AUUGAACGCUGGCGGCAUGCUUUACACAUGCAAGUCGAACGGUAACAGGCCGCAAGGUGCUGACGAGUGGCGAACGGGUGAGUAAUGCAUCGGAACGUGCCCAGUCGUGGGGGAUAACGCAGCGAAAGCUGUGCUAAUACCGCAUACGAUCUAUGGAUGAAAGCGGGGGACCGUAAGGCCUCGCGCGAUUGGAGCGGCCGAUGUCAGAUUAGGUAGUUGGUGGGGUAAAGGCUCACCAAGCCAACGAUCUGUAGCUGGUCUGAGAGGACGACCAGCCACACUGGGACUGAGACACGGCCCAGACUCCUACGGGAGGCAGCAGUGGGGAAUUUUAGACAAUGGGCGCAAGCCUGAUCCAGCAAUGCCGCGUGCAGGAAGAAGGCCUUCGGGUUGUAAACUGCUUUUGUACGGAACGAAAAGGUUUGGGUUAAUACCCUGGGCCGAUGACGGUACCGUAAGAAUAAGCACCGGCUAACUACGUGCCAGCAGCCGCGGUAAAAC
rnacentral:rRNA from 1 species